AACAACGCUGGCGGUGGGAACAAUAAGAUCGGUAAUAAUGGCGGCGGUGGUAACGGUAACGGUGGUAAGAAAGGCGGAGCCGCGAAUGAUGUUCAUGCCAUUAACAACAUGCCCAAUGCGAUGCAUAACAUGGCUGCCAUUCGGGGCCUUGGCGGAGGGAAUAUGGGCCAGAUGCCCAUGGGCCCCAUGGGGAACAUGCCCAUGGGCCAGAUGGGCAACAUGUCCAUGGCCCAAAUGGGUAAUAACAUGCCUGCAGUGCAGGGCCUACCAGCCGGCGCCAUAAACGCCGGUGGUGCCGGCGGCGGCGCCCCCCCU
rnacentral:lncRNA from 1 species